rnacentral:rRNA from 1 species
GACGAACGCUGGCGGCGUGCUUAACACAUGCAAGUCGAACGGAAAGGCCCUGCUUUUGUGGGGUGCUCGAGUGGCGAACGUGUGAGUAACACGUGAGUAACCUGCCCUUGACUUUGGGAUAACUUCAGGAAACUGGGGCUAAUACCGGAUAGGAGCUCCUGCUGCAUGGUGGGGGUUGGAAAGUUUCGGCGGUUGGGGAUGGACUCGCGGCUUAUCAGCUGGUUGGUGGGGUAGUGGCUUACCAAGGCUUUGACGGGUAGCCGGCCUGAGAGGGUGACCGGCCACAUUGGGACUGAGAGAGGGCGCAGACUGGUACGGGAGGCAGCAGUGGGAAGUCUGGCACAAUGGGCGGAAGCCUGAUGCAGCGACGUCGGGUGCGGGAUGACGGCCUUCGGGGUGUGAACCGCUUUCGCCUGUGACGAAGCGUGAGUGACGGUAAUGGGUAAAGAAGCACCGGCUAACUACGUG